rnacentral:sRNA from 1 species
GCCAGGCACAGUGGUGCGUGCCUGUAGUCUCAGCGCCUCAGGAGGCUAAGUCAGGAAGAUUGCUUGAGCCCAGGAAUUCAAGACCAGCCUGAACAAUAUAGCAAGACCUUGUCUCAG